rnacentral:lncRNA from 1 species
AAACUAUCAGCAGGGUAAUAGCGAAAUCUUGAGCUCCUUCCAGCAAAUGCUUCGUUUCCACUCUGGCAAACACUCCCAGCCACUGAAAUCUUUGCUGAUGUUUUCAAAAUUAUGCGAAUCGGGUUACAUUAAGACAACCAAACAAACAAAUUGUCCAGUCAACCAAACAAAUUUUGGAUAGACACUGCCCCAUUCAAAUCCAACCAUGGCAUGAACGAUCCGUCGAUCCCAAGCGUGUCAAAGAGACCAAUUUUUUUCUCUCCUACAAGAAAGAAGACCAAGCAAACCGCAUUAACAUAUCAACGAGGAAUCCACCACUGCAGGAGUGAAACCACGAACCUACGAGGGUCGCGAGAGAGGACGUACCAGAGGAGGAAGACUCCAACAA